rnacentral:tRNA from 1 species
GGGGUUGUGGCUCAGUGGUAGAGCACUUGCUUAGAAUGUGUGAGGCACUGGGUUCAAGUCUCAGCACCG